GAUCAUGGCUCAGGAUGAACGCUAGCUACAGGCUUAACACAUGCAAGUCGAGGGGCAGCGGGAUUGAAGCUUGCUUCAAUUGCCGGCGACCGGCGCACGGGUGAGUAACGCGUAUCCAACCUUCCGUACACUCAGGGAUAGCCUUUCGAAGAAAGAUAAUACUGAUGGUAUGAUGAGAUUGCAUGAUAUCAUCAUUAAAGAAUUUAUCGGUGUACGAUGGGGAG
rnacentral:rRNA from 1 species